UGAUAUAUGUAUAUCAAAUUGUGUAUUCAUAUACCUUUAUACACUAUGCUUAAUUCAGAUAUAAUUAAGACACAGCUUUUGUCAAUCUUAAUUAUUAUAAGUGUAAAUGAACUUGAUUGACUUUUAUGUACACAUAGGGGACCAACAAAACCAAAUUGUAUAUUGUUUUUCAGUUACCUUAAUGAUCGAUUUAUUGAUGAACAAAGUAUUAUGAGAGAGAGAGAGAAAGAGAGAGAGAGAUUGAUUUUAAUAUACAGUGCUUGCUAAAAUGUUCAAUCUCUGGUAAUUAAUUGCCAUAUUCUUUAGAUUCAAUUCAAAUCAUCUGAUUAGAUAGAUGUACAUUGUAGUACAUAAAAUUUAAUUGAGAAUUUUGAAAUGUAUAGUGAAGAAAUUCAUAAAAUGCAGUCUAUAUUUUCCUAAUCCUGUUUGAAAAUAACAAUCAUAGGAAAAAUAGAGUGUAAAUGGCACAAAGUAUUAGAUGUGUAUAAAUAUACAAUUUUUCUUAUUAGGUAUAAUUCUGAAACUAAUAUUGUGAAUACAAAGGUAUGUGCUUUGGGGUAAAAAUGCAUUCCUGUGCAAAAGAAAAACUACAUGUAUUUUUUAUUUGAAAAAUAAAAUAAAAAGUAUGUUAUUUUG
rnacentral:misc_RNA from 1 species